AACCCAUCUGUUUAAUCUUUGUUUUCCAAUUUUCAUUGUUAAUUUCUAAACCAGACUUUACACUUAAUUUAAUAAAGGGUUUGACUAAUAAGGAUCACUUUUGAUUUUGAUUUUGCAAGAAUAGAGUGAAGACUAGUACAAAGAAAAUUCGCAGUAUAAACAUCCUGCCCAAGAAAUGAAGGUUCGCCCAUACUCCAUCUACAGGAUUGCUUCAACAGAUGAAACAGAAAGAUGGGCAAAGGCAGGUUCUGCUUCCCGCAUCUUGGGACUGGCACCAGCUGCACAAAAG
rnacentral:lncRNA from 12 species